GGAGAAGGGGGUAGUGUUGUGGGUAUGUUGUGACAGCAAUGGCCAUGAUGAAGGUGCUGGGCAUUGUUGAUGGUAGUGCAAGGUGAUGCAUGGGUGAUAGCAAUGUUGGUGCUAAUAGAGAUGGCAGCAGUUUUGGAAAUGAUGGUGGUGUGGUAGUGGUGACACUAAUGGUUUCGGUUGGUAAUGCUGGUGUUAAUGGUGGUUGAUAAUGGCAAUGUGGUGGUUUUGGUUCGUACUGGUGUAUCAUAUAGGUGCUAAUAAUGUUAGUAAAAAAAAUUAUGAUUGUAUUUUUAUAUUUUAAAACAAGUGAAAAACAAAUGGAGUUUUAUAUAGGAAAACAGUAGAAAACGAGUUUAGCUAUUUUCCAAUGUCAAAUUAAAAAAUAGAAAAUUGGAAAAUUAUUGCAUUAAAAAAACUCCAGAUUUCUGUUUCUGUGAAAAGCUUUUCUGAAAAUACCUCAGUUUCUGUAAAUAAACAGCCCCUAAUUUUUUAAUGGCACAAGUUGAAUAUUGACAGGCCUAUUAACAAAUUGUGUCAAUAUCAAACCCAAACCUUUUCAGAAAUCAUAUUAUGGUGCUUUAGACCUCCAUAUGGGAAUAAGAUAUUUUAGUCCUCUAUCUUCCAUCGCCAGAUUAUGUGCUAUGUACUUUCAAGGUUGGAAUGGGGGAAGAUCUAUUUAUUCUCCUUGCAACCUUGAGUGUACAAUGAUAGUAAUUGUUUCUAAAUGCUGUAGUUCCAUCAUUCAGAAAGCCUCAAAGGAUAUAAUUUUGUAGCCACUCUUGAUUUGCUUGAUGUCCAGAAAUUGAUUGCAUAUGAUUUGUGGUUUUAUACAGGAAUCCGGGUAGCACUCCAGAG
rnacentral:misc_RNA from 1 species